UCUCUUUCCCAUCAAGAGAUGGCUUCACUAUUUGUGUGAUUUAGUUUUUGUUCAAAGCAUCAAAGUCAAAACAUCCAAAAAAAUCUUUUGUUGAUAAAUUAACAAAUUAUUACAAUUAUGAGUCGUGUUGAUGGCUAUUUAAGGCCGUUUGAACCGGCAUGUUUUUCUAAGAUCAUAAGUGGUGUAGCUCUUGGUCUAGUGCUUGGAGCUGCUGGAGGAGUCUUUACUGGAACUGCUAUGUCACUAAGGAUGGGAUUCAGAGGAAGAGUUUUUUCAAUGAGAGUACUGAAGCAUAUGAGUGUCGGAGGUGCUCAUGGUGGUGUUAUCUUUGGUGUAGCUCAAAGUUUAAGAUACUAAAGAUUUUAUAUUGUUAUGCAGCUAAUCACAUAUACAUAACUGUACAUCUAGAUUUAAUCAUAAGAUUUUGAUUUAGCCGAUAA